GCGUACGAGUACGUUUCUGAUCGAUGAUAAUUUGAGCUGCAGAUCAGAUCGAGAUGAUGCCAGAUCUCAAGGGUACUGAUCGAUCGUGAUCGAUCAUGCAUGUAUAUAUCGAUCAGGACAGAUGCUGCGUGACUAUUAUCUGUCUCUGGCGUUGCAACCUUGGCUCCAUCUAUCGGUUUGAGUGCAGGAACUCAUCUUUUUGACAGACAGCUAGGCAGGCAGUCAGCUUAAGCCGGCUGUUCCAUGAUUGUGCCGGGCUGGAAGGAAGUUUGUGGACGACAAACUCGAGCGUUCUGCCGGCGGCUGGCUCGCGUGAGGACAGGAUGAUGGCCAUCAUCGACCAUCUCCUCCUCCUCACCAGACACCAGAGUGCUUGCUCCCGGAAAAGCCGGUUUAAAGCAGCUCAUCAUCUGGUAUAUGCAGAUACCACCACUAGGCACUAGCAGUAGCAUUAGCAGGAUCAGGAUCUCUUUCUUUCGAUCUCCUCCAUCCACGCAGCGCAGCAGAUCGACUUUACACUUUGCUGUCUCGUCUCCGGUGCAUCAUCAUCUUGUGCCUCUUGACAGUGCAAGGAAAAUCAAUGGAAAUUGAACAAGUCACAUUGCUGCUCUCUUGGACAUUGCAUUGCUGCCAUUGCCCAACAGCCAACAGACAUGAAGAUCUUUGUGCAUGCAUAUGAAUCAAUGGAAGUACAGUAUAUAUGGAUGUUGCCAAGGUGUAUCA